GCCCAUAAUGUCUGUUAGCCGCGAGGCUAACAAGACAUUUGCCUUGGGCAUUUGGGGGGCGGCGUUUUUUGCCGCCCCCUGAAAAAUGCCGCCCAAGGCAAAUGCCUUGUUUGCCUCGCGGCUAAUACGCCCCUGGGUAUACAGUGUAUGUAUAUUAUAUUUAUAUAGCGCUAACAGGUGUACUCAGCACUUUACAGGUUACAUUACAGUAGAGGGAGGUAUAGUAAGUGCAGUAGGUAUACAGUGUAUGUAUAUUUUAUUUAUAUAGCGCUAACAGGUGUACUCAGCACUUUACAGGUUACAUUACAGUAGAGGGAGGUACAAAUAAU